rnacentral:rRNA from 1 species
AAUGAACGCUGGCGGCGCGCCUAAUACAUGCAAGUCGAGCGAGAAGACGUAGCAAUACGUUUGUAAAGCGGCGAACGGGUGAGGAAUACAUGGGUAACCUACCCUAGAGUGGGGAAUAACUAGCCGAAAGGUUAGCUAAUACCGCGUACGCUCCUUGGACUUCGGUUCAGGGAGGAAAGCGAUGCCGAGGGUAUCGCGCUCUUGGAUGGGCUCAUGUCCUAUCAGCUUGUUGGGAGGUAACGGCUCACCAAGGCUUCGACGGGUAGCUGGUCUGAGAGGACGAUCAGCCACACUGGCACUGCGACACGGGCCAGACUCCUACAGGAGGCAGCAGUAAGGAAUAUUGCGCAAUGGGCGAAAGCCUAACGCAGCGACGCCGCGUGGGGGAGUGAAGGUCUUCGG